ensembl:lncRNA
UGGAGGGACAUCAGACAGAGCUACAACCAGUGAGGGACAAAAGUGAGGCAGCUGCUGAAGAGGCUGAAUUGGUUUGAUCCAGAGAGGCAGUUAUGCAUAAGAGCAACCACUCUCUAUUGAAUUAGGAGAUCUCUCAUGCAACACAUCUCACCAAUUACAAGUCCCCAUUAGCCACCACAAUGGCUGGAGAAGAGUGGAUCAUCAUAAAUGGUGACAACUGUGGUGCUAUCCCACUGUCAAUGCAGGAGAGAGCAAUAUACACAAGACAGUUCAGUUCACAAGUCCAUCAAAAGCAGACCGCAGUUGCAUGAAGGUGCUGGCAAGUCUCUGCAGGGAAGUGUCAGCUUUACUUGCUACACCAAGGACAGUUGGGCAAGAUCAACAUCAGACAUGGACAUUCUGUGCCACUGAGAGAUCUCAUUAUUAUGCCUUUCCUGGGAAUCCCUUGCCCUCAUCCCACCUCAGCCACUAAUAAAACCUUAACUUUAUCUUUUAGUGAAAUCGAG